ensembl:snRNA U6 U6 spliceosomal RNA
GUGCUCGCUUUGGCAGUACAUAUACUAAAAUUGUGAACGAUACGGAGAAGAUUGGCAUGGCCCCUACCCGAAGAUGACACGCACAUUUGUGAAGCGUUCCAUAUUAAA